CUUGUACUUAACACUCCAGUUAAAGAUGCUUAUUGAUAUGUUUAUUAUUCUUUUCUCAUUGACUCAAGUAGCUGUGCUGGGACUGACAGUGGAGCAAAGUGAACUCAUCUGGACAAAGCCAGUGGGAAAAAGUGUUUACAUCAGCUGCAAAGUGACCGAUCUGCGCACUGACUACAUCCACUGGUACCAGCAGAAAGACGGUGAAGCUCUCAAAAGAAUACUCUAUAUUAAGCAGGAUGAAACUCGCCCCACACAUGACCCCAACCAUCAGGAGGCAAAAGAGUUUGGCGUGAAGGUGGACAAGAAGUCUAAUUCCUAUGAUCUGAAGGUGCAAACACUGAAGACGAGCCAUUCUGCAGUUUAUUACUGCGCCUGCUGGGACAGCCACAGUGACAGUACUUCUUCACAUCCUGUACAAAAACUCUGA